UACGUAGGGUGCAAGCGUUGUCCGGAAUUAUUGGGCGUAAAGGGCUCGUAGGCGGUCCGUCACGUCGGGAGUGAAAACUUGAGGCUUAACCCCAAGCCUGCUUCCGAUACGGGCGGACUAGAGGUAGGCAGGGGAGCGUGGAAUUCCUGGUGUAGCGGUGAAAUGCGCAGAUAUCAGGAGGAACACCAGCGGCGAAGGCGGCGCUCUGGGCCGGUACUGACACUGAGGAGCGAAAGCGUGGGUAGCAAACAGG
rnacentral:rRNA from 1 species